GCGCCAAGAAAUUUUACCUCCCGCCCCCGCAGCUCCUUCCCCCUCCCGGCGGCGACACCGGCGGCGGUGUCCGCCUCCGCCAUCCUCCCGCCGCAGUACCUCCACUCCCUCGCACGUCCUCCCCGUGGCCGGAUUCAUUGUUGGAACCCUAGAAAGGGCUCUGCCUACGGCCUACCGCGGCACGUCGAGGGCGGCGCCUUCCUCAGGCGGCGCACAUUUGCAGCCCCCGUCGGCACUCGGAGCUCCUCCUCCCCUUGAACAUCAUUUCGUGCCUCUCCCCCGAUGAGUCCGGCGCAAUCCGAGCUCCUCCGUGUCAAGUCCCAGCCGCCGGGAGCUCCUCCGCAUGAACUCGAGCGGCUCCGAGAGUUGCGGACUGCCGCCUCCCCGCAGCGGCCGCGUCAUCCAAGAUGCCUCCGCUGUGACGUCGCACGGCUGAGGAGGCGAGGAGCACGAAACUCUAGAAAGAGGGUGCUGAUUGCUGAAGGAGGUCUUGCAACUAGCAAGGUGGAAAGGCAACCUUUCGACGCAGGGAUCUCUGAAGUUCAUUUCGAAUUGAAAUAUUCUCCAACACGCGUCAUUCCCUGAUAUAUAUGUGCACUCUAGGUUUCUCACAUUCCUUGCUAUGUGGCCCACCUUUUCUUUUCAUCGUUUCUUCCUGCACAAUAGAGAGUGCAAAUAUGAUGUUAAAGAGGAUGAUAUUAUAAUAUCAUUACGGACAGUGUCCGACCUAGAAACUGUGGUUUGCUGGGGCGACGGACAGGGGAUUACUCUGCUCCGCCACUUCAGACCUGGGCCGUCCUGCUUCGCCACUUCAUACCUGGGCCGUCCGAGCCUACUUGCCCCAAUGAAGUAAAGGAGAUCAACUUUCAAGACCAGUGAUUGUGCUGAAAGCUUUAAUUUUGAAGAGGAUGUUAAGUUCCAAUCAUCGGGUGAAGACACAAAUAUUGUGAGUAUUUUUUAAUAAAAGCCGACUGAGGCAAUCGCUACCUGAUUAACGAGGCACUUUUUGUAGACAGAAUUACUGAGGUACUCAGGCAUAAUAAUAUUAUGUGAACUGUUAUCUGAUCUACAAAUUGCAAGUGGAUACCAUACUGCACUGCCCUUUGCUUCUGAUAAAACAUAUUCAUUACAUUGUUGCAAUUAGACUUCAGACCUAUGGGAGUUGUUCCACAUCCCAAAAUUAUAGUAGAGCAACAUGCUAGUCAAUUAAAGAAUAGUUUUAGUGAAGAAUAAGAUUGUAUUUGAGGAUGGCAAGUUCAUGGGCAAUAACGAUCGAAAAACCACAAGGGGAACUUAUUCUAAAAUGCACACAUCACAACAUAUUUCAAGGUGCUUCCUUGCUCAAAUAUGAAUGACACUAUGAACUUUGUAUCAGAUAAACAAAUUAAGUUAACCUUUUGCUAUCAUGAUGCUAUACAUUAACUUGAAAGGAUAGUU